GUCAGUAUCAAUUCAACACUCUUUCACAACAGUUACACAGUUACAAAAUACACAAUCUGAAACGAAAUCGUGAAAAAUGAGGCAGAAAUGGAUGUUGUUCUUAAUCGUAGCCAUCGUGGCUAUUCAGUUAGUAGCUGCACAAUUUUGGGGUCUUCCCGGUGGCUACAGUGGCUUAGGUCAGAGACCGAGAUAUUUCAAUAGAGAUGAUGACCCAAAACGUGGGUAAUAAUCCACGUAAUAGACCACGACAACAUGAUUUUAUAUGAGUACCGAAUGACACCCCUUAAAAGGAUUUAGAAUUAGAAUAACACAAAAUCGUGCCUUACAAUGCUAAAUGAUGACACUGAUGAAUGAGCUGCAAAAGUAAAUUUUCAAAUAAAUGCAGAAUAUACUUAGUCUCGAACUUAGAA